rnacentral:rRNA from 1 species
AUUCUGGGGUGUAUAAAGAAGGCCUUCGGGGUUGUAAAGUACUUUCCAGCGGGGAGGAAAGGUGUUGUGGUUAUAACCACAGCAAUGGACGUUACCCGCAGAAAGAAGCACCGGCUAACUCCGUGCCCAGCAGCCCGCGGUAAUACGGGAGGGUGCAAGCGUUAAUCGGAAUUACUGGGCGUUAAAGCGCACGCAGGCGGUCUGUCAAGUCGGAUGUGAAAUCCCCCGGGCUCAACCUGGGAACUGCAUUCGAAACUGGCAGGCUAGAGUCUUGUAGAGGGGGUAGAAUUCCAGGUGUAGCGGUGAAAUGCGUAGAGAUCUGGAGGAAUACCGGUGGCGAAGGCGGCCCCCUGGACAAAGACUGACGCUCAGGUGCGAAAGCGUGGGGAGCAAACAGGAUUAGAUACCCUGGUAGUCCACGCCGUAAACGAUGUCGACUUGGAGGUUGUGCCCUUGAGGCGUGGCUUCCGGAGCUAACGCGUUAAGUCGACCGCCUGGGGAGUACGGCCGCAAGGUUAAAACUCAAAUGAAUUGACGGGGGCCCGCACAAGCGGUGGAGCAUGUGGUUUAAUUCGAUGCAACGCGAAGAACCUUACCUACUCUUGACAUCCAGAGAACUUUCCAGAGAUGGAUUGGUGCCUUCGGGAACUCUGAGACAGGUGCUGCAUGGCUGUCGUCAGCUCGUGUUGUGAAAUGUUGGGUUAAGUCCCGCAACGAGCGCAACCCUUAUCCUUUGUUGCCAGCGGUUAGGCCGGGAACUCAAAGGAGACUGCCAGUGAUAAACUGGAGGAAGGUGGGGAUGACGUCAAGUCAUCAUGGCCCUUACGAGUAGGGCUACACACGUGCUACAAUGGCGCAUACAAAGAGAAGCGACCUCGCGAGAGCAAGCGGACCUCAUAAAGUGCGUCGUAGUCCGGAUUGGAGUCUGCAACUCGACUCCAUGAAGUCGGAAUCGCUAGUAAUCGUAGAUCAGAAUGCUACGGUGAAUACGUUCCCGGGCCUUGUACACACCGCCCGUCACACCAUGGGAGUGGGUUGCAAAAGAAGUAGGUAGCUUAACCUUCGGGAGGGCGC